rnacentral:rRNA from 1 species
GAUGAACGCUAGCUACAGGCUUAACACAUGCAAGUCGAGGGGCAGCGGUAUCGAAAGCUUGCUUUCGGUAGCCGGCGACCGGCGCACGGGUGAGUAACGCGUAUCGAACCUGCCUCAUACUCGGGAAUAGCCUUGCGAAAGUAAGAUUAAUGCCCGGUGUUUUCAGAGUCCCGCAUGAGGCUUUGAACAAAGAUUUAUCGGUAUGAGCUGGCGAUGCGUCCCAUUAGCUUGUUGGCGGGGUAACGGCCCACCAAGGCAUCGAUGGGUAGGGGUUCUGAGAGGAAGGUCCCCCACAUGGGAACUGAGACACGGUCCAAACUCCUGCGGGAGGCAGCAGUGAGGAAUAUUGGUCAAUGGGCGGAAGCCUGAACCAGCCAAGUAGCGUGCAGGAAGACGGCCCUCCGGGUUGUAAACUGCUUUUAGUUGGGAAUAAAACGGGGCUCGUGAGCCCCCUUGCAUGUACCAUCAGAAAAAGGACCGGCUAAUUCCGUGCCAGCCGCCGCAGUAA